rnacentral:lncRNA from 1 species
AAUUUUAUGCGCCCAAGGCGGACAGAGCAAACGAUAACAUCGUUCAUGUACAUGUAGUAUUGAUCAAUACAGGGUACAACAGGGCCGGUCACCCUCCGUACCCGUAAGUCAUGACGGUUUACAGAUGAAUUUCUGUUUAAACCUUUUCGAAAAUGAAAAACAAUGUUCAUGGUAUGUCACAGAAACCCCAUAUACAGUCAAUACGUAGUUUCCAAAGUCUGAAAGAGGGU